AGAGUUUGAUCAUGGCUCAGAACGAACGCUGGCGGCAUGCCUAACACAUGCAAGUCGAACGAUAAGCCGUCUUCGGAUGGUGGACAGUGGCGCACGGGUGAGUAACACGUGGGGACCUGCCUGAUAGUAAGGAAAAACAGUUGGAAACGGCUGCUAAUACCUUAUACGCCCUUCGGGGGAAAGAUUUAUCGCUAUCAGAUGGACCCGCGCUAGAUUAGAUAGUUGGUGAGGUAAUGGCUCACCAAGUCUGCGAUCUAUAGCUGGUUUGAGAAGAUGAUCAGCCACAUUGGGACUGAGACACGGCCCAAACUCCUACGGGAGGCAGCAGUGGGGAAUAUUGUACAAUGGACGCAAGUCUGAUACAGCAAUGCCGCGUGAGUGAAGAAGGCCUUAGGGUUGUAAAACUCUUUCGCUAGGGAAGAUAAUGACGGUACCUAGUAAAGAAGUCCCGGCUAACUCCGUGCCAGCAGCCGCGGUAAUACGGAGGGGACUAGCGUUGUUCGGAAUUACUGGGCGUAAAGAGUUCGUAGGCGGAUGAGCAAGUAAGAGGUGAAAGCCCAGGGCUCAACCCUGGAACUGCCUUUUAAACUGCUUAUCUAGAGACUGAUAGAGGUUAGGGGAAUACCUAGUGUAGAGGUGAAAUUCGUAGAUAUUAGGUGGAACACCAGUGGCGAAGGCGCCUAACUGGAUCAGUACUGACGCUGAGGAACGAAAGCGUGGGGAGCAAACAGGAUUAGAUACCCUGGUAGUCCACGCCGUAAACGAUGAGUGCUAGAUGUUGGAAGGCUUAGCCUUUCAGUGUCGCAGCUAACGCAUUAA
rnacentral:rRNA from 1 species